AAGGAUCAUUACAGUAUGAUUACAGGGGGGUUUGGAUGCUGGCCUGUGAGGGCAUGUGCGCGCUUCCCUGUUGUUAAUCCUACAUUACACCUGUGCACUUAUGGCGAGCGCCUCCCAUUCGGAGCCGUUCAAACCCUGCUGGGGCUUGGACUGGGGUGCUCCCUCUUUUUAUUUACCGUCUCAGCCUGUUUGAAUGCAUGUUUUGAAGCUCUACGGAGUAGUAAUAUAUAUAUAUAACUUUCAACAACGGAUCUCUUGGCUUUUGCAUCGAUGAAGAACGCCGCGAAAGUGCGAAACGUAAUGUGAAUUGCAGAAUUCAGUGAAUCAUCGAAUCUUUGAACGCAUCUUGCGCUCCUUGGUAUUCCGAGGAGCAUGCCUGUUUGAGUGUCGUGAAAUCCUCUCAAUCCCCCUUUUUGAAGGAGGGUUGGAUUUGGACGUUUGUGACGGCCUUUGGCCCUGUNGCUCGUCUUUAAAUGUAUUAGCUUGGCCUCUGGAGUUGGUCCGAUGACGGUGUGAUAAAUAAAUGCGUCUCGCCGUUUUGUCCGAUUCUAAUCCGAGGUAGCUUAUAAUCGGUUGUUUUUGCGAAUCUGACCUCAAAUCAGGUAGGACUACCCGCUGAACUUAA
rnacentral:rRNA from 1 species